UGCCGGAUCGUCUAAUGGUAGGACUCCUGCCUCUGGAGCAGGGUAUCUUGGUUCGAAUCCAAGUCCGGCAG
rnacentral:tRNA from 1 species